GAUGAACGCUGGCGGCGUGCCUAAUACAUGCAAGUCGAGCGAACGGACGAGGAGCUUGCUCCUCUGACGUUAGCGGCGGACGGGUGAGUAACACGUGGAUAACCUACCUAUAAGACUGGGAUAACUUCGGGAAACCGGAGCUAAUACCGGAUAAUAUUUUGAACCGCAUGGUUCAAAAGUGAAAGACGGUUUUGCUGUCACUUAUAGAUGGAUCCGCGCUGCAUUAGCUAGUUGGUAAGGUAACGGCUUACCAAGGCAACGAUGCGUAGCCGACCUGAGAGGGUGAUCGGCCACACUGGAACUGAGACACGGUCCAGACUCCUACGGGAGGCAGCAGUAGGGAAUCUUCCGCAAUGGGCGAAAGCCUGACGGAGCAACGCCGCGUGAGUGAUGAAGGUCUUCGGAUCGUAAAACUCUGUUAUUAGGGAAGAACAAAUGUGUAAGUAACUAUGCACGUCUUGACGGUACCUAAUCAGAAAGCCACGGCUAACUACGUG
rnacentral:rRNA from 1 species